rnacentral:lncRNA from 1 species
UUAUGUUCUGUUUUCAUUUUAUUUCUUUUUCAAUUUUUUUUUAUUGAGAAAUCCACUUCUAUCCUAAAGAAAACAAAUCUACUUUUUUUUUGUGCCGUCAUAUCAUCAUUAAUGCAUUGGAUUCCACGAGAACAAAUCCAUCCUAGUUUUUUUUCUUACGCUCCUAGUUUUUUACUCUCUUCAUUCCCGAAAGUAGGAUUUUUUAUAUUUAUUUUUUUGUUCCAAAAUGAUAGAUUUUUAAAAAAG